GAUGAAAAAAUACAUCUUAAAAUGUUGAUCAAAGUUUUUAUAGUUUGACUCUAAAAAUAGAAACCAUGACAAAUAAUACCGGACGGAGGGAAUAAGUGUCAUAUCUGUUUCAUCUUUUGUAACACUGCUUUGCUGUAUCUGUCCUAGCACUAAAUAGUGUCACUAGGUUGAUUAUUACUCAUUUUGCUCAAAAGUAUCAGUUUAUUCUGAUUCUUGGAUGGGAAUGCUCUCAUGAUGCACGAUGAUGGUAAGAUCUCUGAUGGUCACGUCAUUUUUUUUUGCUCUGCACUUUUUGUAUCGUAAGCAAUGUCAUACCCAUUGUGCAUGCCUAGCUCUUAUCUUUUAUCUUGUUCCUAUGAUAUCCAUUCUAUUUAUUUGGCACCUUUUCCCAAAAAAAUUAUCCAUUUGUUUCUUUUAAUACUACCUCAAAGAAUUUCUUUCUUAAGGAAUAAACUCAGGACACGCUUUGUCAUAAGCUGAAACCAUACACCUUCAUCAAAUUUUUAAUUUAAGUAACCCGUGGAAUUUUCCGAGCAUGAGCUCACCAAAUAUAGCUUUUCCCGUUAUGCCACCAUUCUGGAAAUUAGCUCCUUCUGCAGUUCUGUUACCAAGUCUCUCCAUCUGACUUGUCCCACUGUAAUGAUAUGACAGCUGUGCGUAGGAUGUCUGAUCAAUUGUGUUAGGUCUAGGAACUGUUUAAUGUUUCAGUGGAAUGAUGUUUGAAUAUUAUGGGUAACUCAUGUUCAGCGUCAUUUUAAAUCUAUUCACUCGUCUUUUGAAACAUCUCUCUUUCGUCAGUGGUUGUUUAUAUUGCUAUUUCUCUUGAUUUGUCAACACUGUUUCAGCUCCUUUCGUUUUGCUUGUGAUCAUGACAUCAUCGACUAUCUUGCUAAGUUUCAUGGUAUGUGCUUUACAGUUUUAAUAAUUAUAACAAACAACAGAACUCAGAACAGAAGGCGACACACAGUGGGAGAGAGAGAGUUGCUGGAGUAGCAAAACCAGAGUGACGAAAGACAAAAAUGGCAGACAAGAUAGUGACUAUUAGAACUAGGAAGUUCAUGAUCAAUAGAUUAUUUGCAAGGAAACAAUUCAUUAUUAAUGUCUUACAUCCUGGAAGAGUCAAUGUUUUUAACGCUGAUUUGAAAGAAAAUUGGCAAGGAUGUAUGAAGUGAAAGACUUAAAUGCCAUCUAUGUGUUCAAGUUCAGAACCCACUUUCGAAGAGGCAAAUCUUUUGGCUUUGAUUUGAUCUAUGACUGUUGAGAAUGCAGAGAAAAAUGAGAUGAAGUACAGGCUGAUCAGGAAUCGAUUGGACACUAAGGUGGAGAAGUCCAGGAAGCAAAUAGAGAGGAAGAACAGAGCCAAGAAAGUUGAUGAUGUUAAGAAGACAAAGGCAGGAGAUGCCAAGAAGAAAUGAUUUGUUAGUAAUUGUAGAUGAAGCGGGAGAUGCAUUCUGCCUAGACACUAACAAUUUUGCUCGGGUUACUCCAAUAUAUUUUGCCUGUUCAAGUACUAUUAGACCGUCAUCAAAAUUAAGUGGAUAGCUAGAAUAUUAUUCUCUUCAAAAAAAAAAAAAA